rnacentral:rRNA from 1 species
UCAGGUAGGAAGACCCGCUGAACUUAAGCAUAUCA